rnacentral:rRNA from 1 species
GACGAACGCUGGCGGCGUGCCUAAUACAUGCAAGUAGAACGCUGAAGGAGGAGCUUGCUUCUCUGGAUGAGUUGCGAACGGGUGAGUAACGCGUAGGUAACCUGCCUGGUAGCGGGGGAUAACUAUUGGAAACGAUAGCUAAUACCGCAUAAUAGUAGAUGUUGCAUGACAUUUGCUUAAAAGGUGCAAUUGCAUCACUACCAGAUGGACCUGCGUUGUAUUAGCUAGUUGGUGGGGUAACGGCUCACCAAGGCGACGAUACAUAGCCGACCUGAGAGGGGGGUCGGCCACACUGGGACUGAGACACGGCCCAGGCUCCUACGGGAGGCAGCAGUAGGGAAUCUUCGGCAAUGGACGGAAGUCUGACCGAGCAACGCCGCGGGAGUGAAGAAGGGUGUCGGAUCGUAAAAAUCUGUUGUAAGGGAAGAACGAGUGGGAGAGUGGAAAGUUCACACUGUGACGGUAUCUAACCAGAAAGGGACGGCUAACUACGUG